UCGUGAGAAUCACCCACCUGUAUUUUUAAUACUUUUGUUCACCAAAACAAUCUUUGCGGCCUGGUAUCACCCACAUGUAUGUGACCCAUCGUGUGCGCGCACUCAUAUGCCAACCACAAUUUCCAUCGAAAUACUAAGUCAUUGUUAAUGUUGUAAGACUUUUGUUGACACUUCUAUCCAAAGCGACUAAUCCAAAAUCUAAUAGAUGGGAUAAAGAACCGGAGACGGUCAAGCAACGCGUUUGAUGUGGCAGCUGGAGAUCGUGAGAAUGAGCCAUGGCUUCAGUCAUUCACUGACUCCCAAACUCAUCAUCACAUCCUCGUCAUCUCCCUCUUCGUGACGGACGGGACCCCCACACUCCGCUCCGGGCUACACAUACAGUGAUGUGACACGGGUGCGCAUCCCGCCGUCAGUCGCGCGGCAAAGUGGCACGCGUGUCAUUCCAACUGACAGAAGCGCUGCACGCACCUCCGUUGCAAAUGCGAGACAUGACUAUGUACUGAUGGAGGCACGUCGAAAACAAGACAGCACAGCAGAAAUAAACACAUCUUGAGCAAUGCGAUCUGAUCUGGAGGAUGGGGGUUGUUUAGAACAGAAUGAGCCAUUGACAUAAGCUUGCUGACGGAUGCUGAUGCUUUCAAUACCUCCGAGACCAAUGAUGAAUUACUGCAGACACACAGCGCUGAGCAUGCAAAUAUGUCCAACAACACUCUGAUAUUGCAGCAGGGGAGGACAAUGUGCUUACAUCUUAAAAAAUACACUCUGCUUUAAUUCCUUUCAUGAUGAUUAAUAAUUCGCCUGAUUAAUGCCUAAUCUACCACAUGUAUAUGAUUUAAAUAUAUUUUAUUUAGGCUAAUACAUAGUAUAGAAAUAGUGUAGAAUAUAUUAAUAUUACACUUUGAUGUGACAGUGAGUGGUAAUGCAUUUGCUUUAAGUUUUUAAAACAACAUAAACAUCAUACUUUUUAAACCAUUUUAAAAGGUAUUCAGGAUAGGCAAGAGUAUAGCUGUAUCCUGAAACACAUCACAGUCCCAGACAGCAAACGACUCUGGGCUGGAUCCACAAUGAAACGGAUGACUUCGGCACGGAUCCGGCCCGGAGUUGUCUGCUGUCUGUGUGUCAUCAAAAUAUAUAAUGAAACAAGUAGUGACUAUUGGUAAACAGUAUGUGGUUGUUUCCUGGACAGGGCUUAGGUCUAGUCCCAGACUGUACUGCAUGUUUGAACUGGCUUAAGUGUACAAACUUGCACUGGCAUAACUUGAAAUAUGUCAGUGCCAUUGUUUUGUCUCAAGAUGCACACCAGUAAUGUUUUUUGUAAGGUUUAUUUAUAUGAACCACUUAAAUGUCCUAAUAUAACUAAGGUCUACUCCGGGAUUAAUCUAAACCCUGUCCAGGAAACUGCCCCUAUAAAUAGUAAAGUAUCAGUGUGUAUAAAAUUUUAUUUUUAAUAUGAUAUAUAAAUUAGGCUUUGUAAAGGAGUUGUUAGAGUAAAUCAAAUGGUAAUGGGGAAGAGAUCAAAGUUUGGCUUAUGCAACAGCGCAAAAAAAUUGUACCUGAGCCUUUGUGGUCCAUGUAUGUUUGUUCUGUUUUCCAGAUGGCAGUGUAAAAAACAGACAGAUGGGGUGGAUGGAGUCCCUGAUGAUCUGAAGAGCUGUUGGUGAGCAUCAGUGGCUGUUUACGAUGACUGUCCCGCGAUUCAAUGGGCAAUUUUGACUACUUGCUGAAGGGCUUUCCGGUCUGAGGAUGUACAGCUGUCAUGAGAUAGAGCAGCUAUCAAAAGAAACACAGGACAGGCCCACCUGAAGAUAGAGUCGAUGUGUCCCAGACGUCAUGUCUUCUGUCAGACGUGUAAGCUUGGAGACAGGAAUGGCAUGGCCGGUGAAGCCCCAGUGAACAGGAGGGGUCAUCCUUCAGCUCCUAGACAGGUUGAAAGACAGCCACAUGGCACACAUCUCUAAAUGACAGCAUGUCACUGGCAGGAGAUCCACCAUACGGCACUGUCACCUCUCACCUGACUGAACUCGGCCCUCACUGAGGGGAAACUUGCGUCACUGUCAAACUAAUAGUGGUUAAAGGUGAAACAUUUCCAUUUUUUCCAUAAGCCCAUCUGUACAUUUAUAUUUUAAGAUCAAGACUUAAUUAUCUAUUCAGAGCUGCCCAUGACCAUGUCUCUGCUGUCAUGGAGAGGAAGCUGGGGUUAUGAAUGUGGAUUACUGGAAAUGUGAAUGCGAUGUGGUAAUUUCUUGUCUAAUAAAAAGUCUUGU